rnacentral:rRNA from 1 species
GCCAGACUCCUACGGGAGGCAGCAGUGGGGAAUAUUGCACAAUGGGGGAAACCCUGAUGCAGCGACGCCGCGUGAGUGAAGAAGUCCUUCGUGAUGUAAAGCUCUCUCAGCAGGGAAGAAAAUGACGGUACCUGACCAAGAAGCCCCGGCUAACUACGUGCCAGCAGCCGCGGUAAUACGUAGGGGGCAAGCGUUAUCCGGAUUUACUGGGUGUAAAGGGAGCGUAGACGGUUGCGCAAGUCUGGAGUGAAAGGCGGGGGCCCAACCCCCGGACUGCUCUGGAAACUGUGUAACUGGAGUGCAGGAGAGGUAAGUGGAAUUCCUAGUGUAGCGGUGAAAUGCGUAGAUAUUAGGAGGAACACCAGUGGCGAAGGCGGCUUACUGGACUGUAACUGACGUUGAGGCUCGAAAGCGUGGGGAGCAAACAGGAUUAGAUACCCCCGUAC